rnacentral:rRNA from 1 species
GGGUUGUGAGGUUAAGCGACUAAGCGUACACGGUGGAUGCCCUGGCAGUCAGAGGCGAUGAAGGACGUGCUAAUCUGCGAAAAGCGCCGGCGAGGUGAUAUGAACCUUUGACCCGGCGAUGUCCGAAUGGGGAAACCCAGUGUGUUCCGACACACUAUCGUUAACUGAAUACAUAGGUUAACGAGGCGAACCGGGGGAACUGAAACAUCUAAGUACCCCGAGGAAAAGAAAUCAACCGAGAUUCCCCCAGUAGCGGCGAGCGAACGGGGAGCAGCCCAGAGUCUGAAUCAGCUUGUGUGUUAGUGGAAGCGUCUGGAAAGUCGCACGGUACAGGGUGAAAGUCCCGUACACGAAAGCACACAGGCUGUGAACUCGAAGAGUAGGGCGGGACACGUGGUAUCCUGUCUGAAUAUGGGGGGACCAUCCUCCAAGGCUAAAUACUCCUGACUGACCGAUAGUGAACCAGUACCGUGAGGGAAAGGCGAAAAGAACCCCGGCGAGGGGAGUGAAAAAGAACCUGAAACCGUGUACGUACAAGCAGUGGGAGCCUCUUUUAUGGGGUGACUGCGUACCUUUUGUAUAAUGGGUCAGCGACUUAUAUUCUGUAGCAAGGUUAACCGUAUAGGGGAGCCGAAGGGAAACCGAGUCUUAACUGGGCGUUAAGUUGCAGGGUAUAGACCCGAAACCCGGUGAUCUAGCCAUGGGCAGGUUGAAGGUUGGGUAACACUAACUGGAGGACCGAACCGACUAAUGUUGAAAAAUUAGCGGAUGACUUGUGGCUGGGGGUGAAAGGCCAAUCAAACCGGGAGAUAGCUGGUUCUCCCCGAAAGCUAUUUAGGUAGCGCCUCGUGAAUUCAUCUUCGGGGGUAGAGCACUGUUUCGGCUAGGGGGCCAUCCCGGCUUACCAACCCGAUGCAAACUACGAAUACCGAAGAAUGUUAUCACGGGAGACACACGGCGGGUGCUAACGUCCGUCGUGAAGAGGGAAACAACCCAGACCGCCAGCUAAGGUCCCAAAGUCAUGGUUAAGUGGGAAACGAUGUGGGAAGGCACAGACAGCCAGGAUGUUGGCUUAGAAGCAGCCAUCAUUUAAAGAAAGCGUAAUAGCUCACUGGUCGAGUCGGCCUGCGCGGAAGAUGUAACGGGGCUAAACCAUGCACCGAAGCUGCGGCAGCGACGCUUAUGCGUUGUUGGGUAGGGGAGCGUUCUGUAAGCCGUUGAAGGUGUCCUGUGAGGGGUGCUGGAGGUAUCAGAAGUGCGAAUGCUGACAUAAGUAACGAUAAAGCGGGUGAAAAGCCCGCUCGCCGGAAGACCAAGGGUUCCUGUCCAACGUUAAUCGGGGCAGGGUGAGUCGACCCCUAAGGCGAGGCCGAAAGGCGUAGUCGAUGGGAAACAGGUUAAUAUUCCUGUACUUGGUGUUACUGCGAAGGGGGGACGGAGAAGGCUAUGUUAGCCGGGCGACGGUUGUCCCGGUUUAAGCAUGUAGGCGGAGGUUCCAGGUAAAUCCGGUUCCUUGUUAACGCUGAGGUGUGAUGACGAGGCACUACGGUGCUGAAGUAACAAAUGCCCUGCUUCCAGGAAAAGCCUCUAAGCAUCAGGUAACAUCAAAUCGUACCCCAAACCGACACAGGUGGUCAGGUAGAGAAUACCAAGGCGCUUGAGAGAACUCGGGUGAAGGAACUAGGCAAAAUGGUGCCGUAACUUCGGGAGAAGGCACGCUGAUAUGUAGGUGAAGUCCCUGCGGAUGGAGCUGAAAUCAGUCGAAGAUACCAGCUGGCUGCAACUGUUUAUUAAAAACACAGCACUGUGCAAACACGAAAGUGGACGUAUACGGUGUGACGCCUGCCCGGUGCCGGAAGGUUAAUUGAUGGGGUUAGCGGUAACGCGAAGCUCUUGAUCGAAGCCCCGGUAAACGGCGGCCGUAACUAUAACGGUCCUAAGGUAGCGAAAUUCCUUGUCGGGUAAGUUCCGACCUGCACGAAUGGCGUAAUGAUGGCCAGGCUGUCUCCACCCGAGACUCAGUGAAAUUGAACUCGCUGUGAAGAUGCAGUGUACCCGCGGCAAGACGGAAAGACCCCGUGAACCUUUACUAUAGCUUGACACUGAACACUGGUCCUUGAUGUGUAGGAUAGGUGGGAGGCUUUGAAGCGUGGACGCCAGUCUGCGUGGAGCCAACCUUGAAAUACCACCCUUUAAUGGCUGGUGUUCUAACGUAGACCCGUGAUCCGGGUUGCGGACAGUGUCUGGUGGGUAGUUUGACUGGGGCGGUCUCCUCCCAAAGAGUAACGGAGGAGCACGAAGGUUAGCUAAUCCUGGUCGGACAUCAGGAGGUUAGUGCAAUGGCAUAAGCUAGCUUGACUGCGAGAGUGACGGCUCGAGCAGGUGCGAAAGCAGGUCAUAGUGAUCCGGUGGUUCUGAAUGGAAGGGCCAUCGCUCAACGGAUAAAAGGUACUCCGGGGAUAACAGGCUGAUACCGCCCAAGAGUUCAUAUCGACGGCGGUGUUUGGCACCUCGAUGUCGGCUCAUCACAUCCUGGGGCUGAAGUAGGUCCCAAGGGUAUGGCUGUUCGCCAUUUAAAGUGGUACGCGAGCUGGGUUUAGAACGUCGUGAGACAGUUCGGUCCCUAUCUGCCGUGGGCGCUGGAGAAUUGAGGGGGGCUGCUCCUAGUACGAGAGGACCGGAGUGGACGCAUCACUGGUGUUCGGGUUGUCAUGCCAAUGGCACUGCCCGGUAGCUAAAUGCGGAAGAGAUAAGUGCUGAAAGCAUCUAAGCACGAAACUUGCCCCGAGAUGAGUUCUCCCUGAGACUUUAAGUCUCCUGAAGGAACGUUGAAGACUACGACGUUGAUAGGUCGGGUGUGUAAGCGCAGCGAUGCGUUGAGCUAACCGAUACUAAUGAACCGUGAGGCUUAACCUUACAACGCCGAAGGUGUUU